UACGGGGGGGGCAAGCGUUGUUCGGAAUUACUGGGCGUAAAGGGCUCGUAGGCGGCCAACUAAGUCAGACGUGAAAUCCCUCGGCUUAACCGGGGAACUGCGUCUGAUACUGGAUGGCUUGAGGGCAGUAGAGGGUGGUGGAAUUCCGGGUGUAGUGGUGAAAUGCGUAGAUAUCCGGAGGAACACCAGUGGCGAAAGCGGCCACCUGGACUGUACCUGACGCUCAAACGCGAAAGCUAGGGGAGCGAACGGG
rnacentral:rRNA from 1 species